rnacentral:rRNA from 1 species
GACGAACGCUGGCGGCGUGCUUAACACAUGCAAGUCGAACGGUAAGGCCCUUCGGGGUACACGAGUGGCGAACGGGUGAGUACCACGUGGGUGAUCUGCCCUGCACUUCGGGAUAAGCCUGGGAAACUGGGUCUAAUACCGGAUAGGACUCCUGGCUUCAUGGUUGGGGGUGGAAAGCUUUUGCGGUGUGGGAUGGGCCCGCGGCCUAUCAGCUUGUUGGUGGGGUAAUGGCCUACCAAGGCGACGACGGGUAGCCGGCCUGAGAGGGUGACCGGUCACACUGGGACUGAGAUACGGCCCAGACUCCUACGGGAGGCAGCAGUGGGGAAUAUUGCACAAUGGGCGCAAGCCUGAUGCAGCGACGCCGCGUGAGGGAUGACGGCCUUCGGGUUGUAAACCUGUUUCAGCUAUGACGAAGCGCAAGUGACGGUAGUAGCAGAAGAAGGACCGGCCAACUACGUGCCAGCAGCCGCAGUAA